rnacentral:rRNA from 1 species
GAUGAACGCUGGCGGCGUGCCUAAUACAUGCAAGUCGAGCGAACAGACGAUGAGCUUGCUCCUCUGACGUUAGCGGCGGACGGGUGAGUAACACGUGGAUAACCUACCUAUAAGACUGGGAUAACUUCGGGAAACCGGAGCUACUACCGGAUAAUAUAUUGAACCGCAUGGUUCAAUAGUGAAAGACGGUUUUGCUGUCACUUAUAGAUGGAUCCGCGCCGCAUUAGCUAGUUGGUAAGGUAACGGCUUACCAAGGCAACGAUGCGUAGCCGACCUGAGAGGGUGAUCGGCCACACUGGAACUGAGACACGGUCCAGACUCCUACGGGAGGCAGCAGUAGGGAAUAUUCCGCAAUGGGCGAAAGCCUGACGGAGCAACGCCGCGUGAGUGAUGAAGGUCUUCGGAUCGUAAAACUCUGUUAUUAGGGAAGAACAAAUGUGUAAGUAACUAUGCACGUCUUGACGGUACCUAAUCAGAAAGCCACGGCUAACUACGUG